GUUUCUGUCUCUUCCUCCCUGAAAAUUGACGCGCGAUUUAUGUUUGAAAUCCUUCGUUCUUCAAAUUCCAGAAAUUCGUCCCAAGAUUAGCAGUAUUUCAAUUAACUUGAAUCUGCAAUCAUCGAGCUCAAAAUUGAAGGUGUUUUGCUCGGAAUAUGAGAGUACGAGUUCCAUGGGCCAAUUUAAUCGUACUACUUGUCAAGGCAAAAGGAAGAGUUAUCCUACACCACCAACUUUCUCUAUCCUACACCACACCUAGCAUCACCCCUCCUUGCAGCCUGCCUCCUAUUCACUACUCGCCACCUGCAACCACCAUUUCACGCAGCAACCGAGCAUAACAGCAAGCCAUUUCCACCUCAACAAGCAGUCUACACAUCCCAGCAACAUCAAACAAUGAGUUUAGUUCUUUUUUCUCAAAUGGCAGCCAAAACAAAGCUAAAAACAGAAUGUAAAUAUUUUUAGUUUAGUUCUUUUUUCUCUUAGGGUUUAGGGUUUUUCUUGAGUUUAGUUUCUAUUUUCUAAGAGUGAGAAAGUGAUGAAAAAUCAUUGAAAUGGAGGAUUAUGGAUAAUACAAGAAGAUUUGAAGCAUUCAUUCAUCAAUCAAUGAGAA